CCAUGUGCGCUUUGGGUUAUUCGAUAUGCACGCGGCCGCCGCCGCCGCUCGCCCGCCGUUCGUCCCCAGUAACGGAAGCUUCUAGAAACCUCACCAGCCGCCGCGGAUGCGCACCUGCCUUCUCCCGGCGUCCCCCUUCCCAGCGCGCGUUACGGGCGCCAGCCUCCCACACCGCGACGCACUGCACUGGCCGUGAGAGACUGGCAGGCUUGGAACUUCGGAUCGCAUUGCGCUGCUGGGUGGUUGCUGAGUCCUGGAGUCGCCGCGGCGAACGGAUUGUAACCAGCUUCUGUGCGUGUAUCAGUGAUCUCCUGGAGUUCUCCAGCAACUAAGCAUCAAACCGAGAGGCAGCAUGGAUGGUAUCUCUCUGCAGAGCUGAAGACAGGAAGGUUAGGAGGAAUAAAACAGUAUAUGAUACUCUUGAAAUAAAGCUCUUGCUUCUAUGCAUGUGAACACAUGUGAGCCGUACACAUUCAGGUAUAUCUACAUGCAUUUUAAUUAGCCAGAGUUUUCAUGUGUAUCUGAACAUGCAUGACCUUAAGCCAUUAGGAGUCCAGAGCCAGGACAUGCUAGUGACAUACUCCCUCUGUCCCAAAAUAAGUGUCUCAACUUUGUACUAACUUUAGUAUAAAGUUGUACUAAGCUUGAGACACUUAUUUUGGGACGGAGGGAGUAUCUAUAAGCAUGCUGUGAUUUGUUUUUUCAGCCUAUCCUGACCUACAGUCUAUAAGGUCCAUAUGUAUUACGUGGAACUGGCUCCUCUAACUUCGCUCCUAUGAAGUUAGGGAAACAGUACCCUAACUUAGUCUGCACGGUACAAACAAGUUCACAUGCUUCUUACUUCCAUUUCCGUUUCUUAUUCCAAUCCUUAUGUAAAGCCAGGCAGGAAUAUCAACAAUCACAGAAUGACAAAACAAAUCUUGAAAGGUAUUUGGAAGAGUACGUACAAAGUUCCUGGUACGGCAACUUCCCUGGACAACUAGGUUUGUCAUGUUACCAAUGAGGUAUGCUGUCAAUCCCAGGUUAAAUAGCAUGAAACAUAUGCAAAAUGACAUUUCUCUUGGAUUCUCCGCAUGUAAAUCGCCAUAACCAGUUGUUGUGAGUGUUGUAAUGGACCAAUAAAUUGCUGUCACAUAUCGAAUCCAUAGACUCUCUGAUCUGUAGUUUGGUAUUGCUGCUCCUAUCCAGGUUCUUGAUGGAUCGGGAUAUGUAUCAGCUAUUAAGUAAAUGAAACAUCCUGAACAAUGUAUUGCAAAAAGAGUAACCUGCAAUGCUCAGUCAAACAUGCAGAGUUAUGUUUUAUUCAUCAGGGCAGUAAUACAUCAAUUUGUUUCAUACUUGGAGAGGAGAGGAUGCAAACUUACAGAAAUUAGUUUGGUGCACCUUAUCCAGUAGUAGUUCAAUCGGAUAUCCUUUUCAAGCCUAGAGGGGCGAUUUACCUUAGUAAUUUUCGGUUCUCUUAUUUUCAAGUUUCAAAUAAUAAAACGACACAUACCUGGCAAAUAAAGCACUGAGGCGUCGGAGACGCCAUAAUCGAAGCAUGUUAAGUGUCCUAUAGGCAAGGCCAUUUCCAUGCUUGUUAAAGAGUAGCCCAAACGGUUGAUAUGGAAUCGUGGAACAGACGUCAAGAAUGAACCAGGAAGAGAGAUAUCUGUGUACAGGCUCAUGUCAGUGUUGUUCAAAUUGUUAGCUUUGCACAUGUGCUUUACCAUUAAGAAUGACACGGUUGAGGUGCAAGUACCAACCUAGCUGCAAUCCUUUUUGGAUUAUCCACUAGAAGAUAAGACUUGUGAUCAAGAUACGCUAGAAAAAAGGUGAGAACAAUAUCAAUUGCGAAGAAGCUGUUGACAAUGUUCUCAACUAGGAAAAGCUUCCAUGAGAGAUGUCUCAGAAAUGCUAGCUCAAACGGGUAGAUCCAUGCUGAAUAAACAACGAGCACAAGCAAGAACGUUUCCCAGAUCCUGCAGACCCACAAGAGUGGAAGACUAUACUAAGUAUUUGUGUACACAUACAUAUAUGAUGCGAGAGAAAGUAAAGAGUGUGAUUUUACCUGUAACGGGAAUCAUAGGGAGAAAUGAUGAAUUUUCUCAACUUGAUAGAUUGGUUUGCUCUUGCUCCUAGAGAUGGGAGUAGGUCAUUGUGGAAGAUGUUGCUAAUAUUAUCCAUUGUAGUAUCUAUGAAGCAGGGCGUAUCUUACCGUCGAUCCUAGUUCCUACAGGCUAUUUGGAUUAUUGAAGAGGAUUUUAGUCUUGCCAUGCCUUUGAACCUUCAUGGAUGGUACUAUUCUGUGUUGAAGUAUUGGUUGUGCAGAAUAAAUAAGAGUUUGGCUUGGCUCCAAGAAAGAAGAGGAUGGAGGAAGCAACGGAAGUGAGAUCCUUGAUGUGGCCAUUAAAAGAUAGUGACCUUUUAUUUGUUCUUUUUUGUUUCUACAUGAAAAUAAACAAACAAGUGGUCUGAGUCUACUGUUCAUGGUUUUGGUAGGUUCGCUAUGAAUGGGCUGUAACUGUUUUGGUUUACCAUUACCUAGUGUGGUCAGGGUUUAGGAGAUGAUGUUUGCAGUCCUUUGGAAAGUAUUUCUUUUCAGAUUUCACAGACAGGUUAUGCAGAAUUAUAGGCAUAAUUAAUUAUAAGUAAAAAAAUUGGAAGUUCAUAUGAUGAAAUAUCAUUUUCUGUAAUUCACCCAUUAACUUUGUCUGUAGGGAGGGACUCCAUAGUAGUGAAGUGAAAUUUUAGUCCCAAGGUAAAAAGAAUAUGCUUUGCUGCCUGCGUAAAGUCAUGAUAUAUGCUACUCCCUCCGAUCCGAAUUAAUUGAUGCAACCUCUAUACAUUGCAUCAUUUAAUUCGGAUCGGAGGGAGUACUGAUCUUGCCGUGAAGUAAUUGGAAGCAUUUUACUGGCCUCUGAAAUGAAAAACUGGAUAUAACAUUCUAGUUGAAGAUAAAGGAUUGUUACGAUUAAUUUCUCGCAAGGGUCCUGGGCUCAUUGGAAAAUUAAAAUCUUGUGCCGCCGCAAAGAUUAGUUUACACUAUGAGAAUAGGGGAUUCAAUAAUAUUCUUCUCUUUGGCUGCGUAGCUAACCAGAAAUGUUUCCAUUUGCUUUUAUUUUGUGAUGCUGUCAAAGUAACAACUGAAGUGAGCUUAAAUGCUGUUACAGCUCUUAGCAUCCUCUCCCAUGCUCUGCAUGUUGGCAGUUAUGUUGUAUACUUCUUCUGGUCAGUAGAUAGGUCUAUUCAAUAUGCCUGGGACCAUUUUUUUGGGCAAUAAUAAAGGCCAGUCACCACUAGUAUCAUUACUUUCUGAUCCUUGAGCAAUCUAAUCAUCUACCAGACAUUAAAUAUUUUUUCUCGUUGACCACAGGUAAAGAACCUUGUGUUAUUUGUGUCGCUUCCUAUUUCAUAUAUCCUCUUCUGACAAUCUAAAUAAUAAGAAUAUACUCCCUCUGUACACUAAUAUAAGACGUUUUAGAUCACUACUUUACUACUAGUUAAGUUGAAAUAAGCCUUAUACACAGUAAUACAUUAUCUCCAUGGUUGUAGAUGUUUCAUGCACCUUUCUUGCGACGCGUGGCUGUUACUGGAAACUUACAACCACUUGAAAUUGACCAUGUCUUGCUUAUUUGCCUUCGCGGGUUUACUGGGAGUAUCAAGAAAGAAAUAUCCUGCUUUCUGGAUCCUGUGAGCAAAUGUGCAAGUUGCGCGGCUUCAGCUUAUCCUGCCUCACAAAGUCACAAUCCACUGACUUCCAUCACGGGCUUCCUGGGAGCUUUGCAUCUUGGUGACAUCUGUGCCCGCAUCUGGAAAUGAUUUGGUUUUCCAUGCACAGAAGUGCAAAUUCGUGGAGAAUGGAGAUGACUCUGGGAUUUUCGGCCCAUUUUCGCAGAGUAGUGGCUUCCGCGUUGUUGACCAGCAGGGACCCCUAUGUGUAAGAAUUUUAUAAACCACUGACCGGUUGGAUUAGGUUUCAGCUUGUAGAUUUUGCAUGUGAUUUGAGUUUUGCCGUUUUGGAAAUGGAAACCGAUGUAACUGGUUAAUUGCAAGACUGGAUUUUCUCUUGAAAAGAAGUACUGAAUUGGGCAAAGACUGGU